UGAUAUUAACCUAUAAAUCCAUAAAACAACAAAUCAAAUUGCUUGACAUGCCCUCACCCUGUGAAUGCUCCAAAAUGUUAACUUAAACCUGGAAGAUCAGAUUAAUGAUGACUGAUGACUGUCAAGAUAAUACAAGGUAGAUUUUAAGAUGUUACAGUAUAGCCUUGAAUGGUUCCGUGCUAGUAGUUCCGUUUUCUAAUUACAGUGAACCCCAGGAACAGAAAUAAGCAAUGUACAUAAAUUUUCAGUUUUGUAAAUGUACCUCCUGUGAUGGUGUGGAUUUCUCGUGCUUGGUGUGGCCUGCUUCAUGCUCAUUUGCGCCCCGUGCCUAGCAUAUUGCACUCUGCAGCUCUCCGCCUGCUCCGCGCUACUGUGGCCGGCAUGGCCAACUCUAUGCCCAUCGAAGCCGUCGGCCGUCGGCAUGCACUCGCUUCUUCACUUCCGCGACUGCC
rnacentral:lncRNA from 1 species